rfam:Nosema ceranae BRL01 Nc001892, whole genome shotgun sequence.
GGUACCUUGGCCGAGUGGUGUAAGGCGCCGGAUUACAACUCCGGAACCCGAAGGGGUGAGUGGGUUCGAAUCCCUCAGGUACCA